rnacentral:rRNA from 1 species
UCGAGGGGCAUCACGGGGUAGCAAUACUCUGGUGGCGACCGGCGCACGGGUGAGUAACGCGUAUGUAACCUACCCUGUACAGGGGGAUAGCCCGGAGAAAUUCGGAUUAAUACCCCAUAAAGAUAUUUUGAGGCAUCUUGAGAUAUUUAAAGUUUCGGCGGUACGGGAUGGGCAUGCGUAACAUUAGCUAGUUGGUAAGGUAACGGCCUACCAAGGCUACGAUGUUUAGGGGUCCUGAGAGGGUGAUCCCCCACACUGGUACUGAGACACGGACCAGACUCCUACGGGAGGCAGCAGUGAGGAAUAUUGGUCAAUGGGCGCAAGCCUGAACCAGCCAUCCCGCGUGCAGGAAGACGGCGCUAUGCGUUGUAAACUGCUUUUCCAGGGGGCGAAUAGCUUCGACGUGUCGGGGUAUGACGGUACCCUGGGAAUAAGCAUCGGCUAACUCCGUGCCAGCAGCCGCGGUAAUACGGAGGAUGCAAGCGUUAUCCGGAUUUAUUGGGUUUAAAGGGUGCGUAGGCGGAGUAAUAAGUCAGUGGUGAAAACCUACAGCUUAACUGUGGAACUGCCAUUGAUACUGUUAUUCUUGAGUGUGGUCAAGGUAGGCGGAAUGUGUAAUGUAGCGGUGAAAUGCUUAGAUAUUACACAGAACACCGAUUGCGAAGGCAGCUUACUGGACCAUUACUGACGCUGAUGCACGAAAGCGUGGGGAGCGAACAGGAUUAGAUACCCUGGUAGUCCACGCCGUANACGAUGAUCACUCGCUGUUGGCGANACACAGUCAGCGGCUAAGCAAAAGCAUUAAGUGAUCCACCUG